CUUAGAAUAAAGUCUGAGCACCUGUUGAAGUUGAAAGAAAAGUCAGUCUGUCUCCAAACAUUUUGGAGAAUAAGGCCAUGCAAAAACAUUCUUAGAAUGAAGAGUGCUUUAUUAAAUAACUCCUUCAGUUAAUAUUUAUUGGCCAAAAGCAUAAUAAUGAAGAUUAAUCUGAGAGAACAGUUUGAUUCCCGUGGCUGAUGCAAAAUAUUCCAAGAACAUGUUUUCCAACUGUGCAGGGACCUUUUGCAAUAGGAAUAUCAGAGACAUCCAUACUUCUCAUUCUACCUCGAUUGCUCCUAAAACAUCCAGCAAUCAGACACAGCAUGAAAUCCAAUUUCAGAAGAAAAAGAUUCUAAAAAGUUGAGCUCAGAAAACAAAAAAACAAUCUCAAAAAUCCAGUACUGUAUACAAGAGGUAAAUAUAAAAGGCAAAUAGUUUUAGGAUAUUCAUCAA